rnacentral:rRNA from 2 species
CGCUUACACAUGCAGUCGUACGAUGAAGCCCAGCUUGCUGGGUGGAUUAGUGGCGAACGGGUGAGUAACACGUGAGUAACCUGCCCUUAACUCUGGGAUAAGCCUGGGAAACUGGGUCUAAUACCGGAUAGGAGCGUCCACCGCAUGGUGGGUGUUGGAAAGAUUUAUCGGUUUUGGAUGGACUCGCGGCCUAUCAGCUUGUUGGUGAGGUAAUGGCUCACCAAGGCGACGACGGGUAGCCGGCCUGAGAGGGUGACCGGCCACACUGGGACUGAGACACGGCCCAGACUCCUACGGGAGGCAGCAGUGGGGAAUAUUGCACAAUGGGCGAAAGCCUGAUGCAGCGACGCCGCGUGAGGGAUGACGGCCUUCGGGUUGUAAACCUCUUUCAGUAGGGAAGAAGCGAAAGUGACGGUACCUGCAGAAGAAGCACCGGCUAACUACGUGCCAGCAGCCGCGGUAAUACGUAGGGUGCGAGCGUUAUCCGGAAUUAUUGGGCGUAAAGAGCUCGUAGGCGGUUUGUCGCGUCUGUCGUGAAAGUCCGGGGCUUAACCCCGGAUCUGCGGUGGGUACGGGCAGACUAGAGUGCAGUAGGGGAGACUGGAAUUCCUGGUGUAGCGGUGGAAUGCGCAGAUAUCAGGAGGAACACCGAUGGCGAAGGCAGGUCUCUGGGCUGUAACUGACGCUGAGGAGCGAAAGCAUGGGGAGCGAACAGGAUUAGAUACCCUGGUAGUCCAUGCCGUAAACGUUGGGCACUAGGUGUGGGGACCAUUCCACGGUUUCCGCGCCGCAGCUAACGCAUUAAGUGCCCCGCCUGGGGAGUACGGCCGCAAGGCUAAAACUCAAAGGAAUUGACGGGGGCCCGCACAAGCGGCGGAGCAUGCGGAUUAAAUUCGAUGCAACGCGAAGAACCUUACCAAGGCUUGACAUGUUCUCGAUCGCCGUAGAGAUACGGUUUCCCCUUUGGGGCGGGUUCACAGGUGGUGCAUGGUUGUCGUCAGCUCGUGUCGUGAGAAUGUUGGGUUAAGUCCCGC